UUUAACUUGGCUGAAGAGUAGAAGCCAGUUUCAGUGCGAUAGCUAUUUUUUAAAAAGUUUCUCUAAGUUCGAGUACGUUUAAUUUCACACGAGGCGAACGCUCUACUCUCGAGCAAAUUAUUUUAGUACUUAAAGCGUCCGAACGACGCUUUUUGUACGGGUUUUUCUUUUUCCCGUUCCCGCUGGACACGUCUCGUCCAUGCGGUGUGAACCCGGCCGUGCGGGCCCGCCAUUACGGUAGCCAAACGAGGAUUGAGGCAUUCCGACCUACCGAGAUUCUCCAAAGGAAAGUUUCCCCCAGUCCCGGUGGUUGUGUAGUCCCACAGACGAAGGCCAGUUGGAGACCCGUGACGCUUCCUGAGGAGAGGAGACGGCAGAGUAUCGGACCAUCAGCCACCGCCCUUUCUCGCAACUAUAGAUCGGCCAACUACGCACGUGUGCCCAUUCCGGCGAUGCAUCUGCCGAAGAGCUCGAGUAUUCCGUCGCACCAUUGAUCGGACACCCCUGUAGCUGGCACCGUCGUUAUCAUCGCUCGAUGACGACACAGCCCUGUCGGUAUACCAGCCGCCAGCAUAAACCCUGAUCAGGUAUGUCGCAAAUCAUGGCCAUGUAACACACACAACAACACUCACACUCUCACUACACACUAAAAUGAAUCUUGAAAAAAACAUAAUACAUAAAUGAAUUCAAUAUAAAUUUCUCUUGCGUUCAUUCAUUUAUCUCGCUAAGCCCUGUGGUUUAUUAGUCUGCCCG